rnacentral:rRNA from 1 species
UAUGUGAUCGUCUCUCGCAUAUCAAUAAGCGGAGGAAAAGAAACUAACAAGGAUUCCCCUAGUAACGGCGAGUGAAGCGGGAAGAGCUCAAAUUUGAAAUCUUAAAGGGUUUCCCUUUACGAAUUGUAGUUUAAAGAAGUGUUUUCUGUUGAGGUUUUGGUAAAAGUUCUUUGGAAUAGGACAUCAUAGAGGGUGAGAAUCCCGUAUUUGACCUUUACUUUCAACUUUGUGAUACACUUUCAAAGAGUCGGAUUGUUUGGGAAUGCAGUCCAAAAUGGGUGGUAAAUUUCAUCUAAAGCUAAAUAUUGGCGAGAGACCGAUAGCGAACAAGUACCGUGAGGGAAAGAUGAAAAGAACUUUGAAAAGAGAGUUAAACAGUACGUGAAAUUGUCAAAAGGGAAGCGUCUGACACCAGUGUUGUUUUUCUGAAAAUCAAUUAAAGAACUGUUUAUGCUAAGCUGUUUAGACUUUAUCAGCUAUCUGUUUAGUUUUGAGCUUUUCUUUAAUGCACUUUUCAGUUAACAAGUCAACAUCAAUUUCUUUUGCUGUAAAAAAGCUUGAGGAAGGUGGCUUGAGAUUCGUCUUAAGUGUUUAUAGCCUCUUGCCUAUGCAGUCGGAGAGAUUGAGGUCUGCAGCGUAGAUCCUUCGGGGCUAAAUGCAUUUGUGCUAAGUUAUAGCAUUUUAUAGACAACUUGUUGACUAUGAUUUGUCUUGUAGCUUACUCGCUUAUGUUAUUUUACCUACGCUUAGGAUGUUGAGCGCAUGUCUCUCUCU